GCGACAGCGCGUCCACGCUCGCACCGCCGUCGGCGGAGCUACUGGAGUCGUCGUGGCAGUGAACCCCCGUAUCAGCGUAUCCAACCCUAGCGCAAUUCACCACCUCAUCUCUCCCUCCUCUUUCUCGCUCCCCGCCGCCGCCGCACCACAUUGCUCACCACGUGUGCCUCCCUACUCACCGCCGUCAGUGGAACAUGGGUUGUGGGGUGCCGCACGAGCUUGCCGCAGUUGCUAGAGAGCUCCUUCGUCCACCUGCCGCAUGGUGCCCCCUGAGGUAGUAGCCUCAUCUCCUCCCCCUCCGCAACUCUCUCUCCAUCUCUUUUUUCCCCUUCUCUGACUUUCCACUCCAUCUCCACCACCGAGGUCAAGCGUGGUGGUGGCCCAAGCAGAAGCAUGGUGAUGGAUCCAUGGUCGAUCUCGACAGUGGUAACCUCAGCUACGGACAUGAAGGGGGGUGAGGAUCUGGUUUUCGGCGAGAUCUCAAUGAGAAAUAUGGCCUUGGCUUUGCCUUCCCCCUCAAUUUGUGAUGCUGUCUCUCCAGUCAUGGACCAGUGAAUUAUCUGAGAGCUUUGUUGUCAAAGGAAUGCAGACAUUGCCUUUAAAUCCAAGGAUUUUGCAACUGCCAUCGAGUGUUACUCAAGGGCUUGCGGACAGGGUUAUCUCCAGGCACAGCAUUUCCAUCUGCAGUACACCGUGUAUUGUUACUCGCUACAGAUACUUGCCUGCAGGGUGUGCCAUCAUGAGGUAAUACUAAUAACUCCCUUGCUUAAUCUGAUGCAUAUAGUCCCAUAAACAUCAUAGUAGGAUAGGACAAAUAGCACCCUCAUGAUAUAUGUGAAGAGUUAUUAUAUAUGACGCUUCUGUGUAUGGAUUAAGUACAUUGGCAAUGGGUGUCCUCUCAGAAAUAUGGUAAGUUGGCUCUGAGUGUUGAUUCUUUGUUCCGUGUGCUCUACUACUCUUUAAAUUCUUAUAAGCAGAAAUUUUGUCUAUUACAAGUGUCAGCUUUGUUACCUUUGAUAUUCUGUCAGGUCUCGGUCUCAAGUAAUCUGUUAAAGCAUACAUGUAAUGAAGUAAGUGGCUUAUGUCUUAUACUUUUGUGUGUUAGACAUUCUGAUUUGAAAAUCACAUUUAGAUAUAUAAAUGUACUUCUUUAAUUGCUGGCAACUAUAGCUCAUAUGAGAUGUACUGCUUUACCUGUAGCUCGUGUUUGGGCCAUUUGAUCAGCAUGGUUGCUUCUUGCUGCUAGCAAGCAACAGGCAACUUGAUUUUUUGCUUGCAGCACAGAAAGCAGGUUGAGUUAGAUGAACCAUACAAAUGAUGGAGUGGAGAUAUGAUUGUUUCAAUUUUAGACAGAUACCUUUUAUGAGGCGACACCUCAGUUUCUCAAUUGCUUUGCCCAUCCGAUUAGACAGAUGCUUUGUGGGCUUGUGGCUGUUAGUGUGCUUAGUGUUAAUGGUUACUGCGAAGGAACCAAACCUUUUACUAAGAACUAAUUUACACAUGUAGCAUGAAAUUUGUUUUAUAGUUCUGCACUCAAUCUGGAAUUUAUAGUUUGUUACUUUUUAAAUAAUUUUUUUGACAAUAGUUUGACAUCAGAACUCCUAUUUCUAAGGUUUGACAUUUAUAAAGCUGUAAAGGAUCCAAAGAUCUAUCCAAUGAAAUUUCACAUACUUAAUUAGCUCCUUUUGAUAACAGCUUAUAUGGGUGUUUUAGAUGAUCCGAAGCAUUCUUCCAAGACUGCAGAAGUGCAGAAGUGCUGGCAUGAGUUUUGGAUCAAUUCACAUGAAUGAAAGCUUCAGAAAUACCUUAGUUCGGACAAAAAGACAUGAAAUUUAUCUUCAUUUGUUAUUCGUUUGUGCUUGAAUGAGGUGAAAUGUUAGCGAGGCACUGUACCUUGUUUUUGAGGUUUAGUGUACUUUGCCUAGAUGUAUGGUCGUCAAAUGGUGAUAAAUAUAGGAGCAUAUUUUACCUUCUGACAAUAAAGGCUGAAAUAUUUAUGUUAUCUUAAA